rnacentral:rRNA from 1 species
AUUGAACGCUGGCGGCAUGCUUUACACAUGCAAGUCGAACGGUAACAGGCCGCAAGGUGCUGACGAGUGGCGAACGGGUGAGUAAUGCAUCGGAACGUGCCCAGUCGUGGGGGAUAACGCAGCGAAAGCUGCGCUAAUACCGCAUACGAUCUAUGGAUGAAAGCGGGGGACCGUAAGGCCUCGCGCGAUUGGAGCGGCCGAUGUCAGAUUAGGUAGUUGGUGGGGUAAAGGCUCACCAAGCCAACGAUCUGUAGCUGGUCUGAGAGGACGACCAGCCACACUUGGACUGAGACACGGCCCAGACUCCUACGGGAGGCAGCAGUGGGGAAUGUUGGACAAUGGGCGCAAGCCUGUUCCAGCAAUGCCGCGUGCAGGAAGAAGGCCUUCGGGUUGUAAACUGCUUUUGUACGGAACGAAAAGGCUCUGGUUAAUACCUGGGGCUCAUGACGGUACCGUAAGAGUAAGCACCGGCUAACUACGUGCCAGCCGCCGCCGUAAAAC